rnacentral:tRNA from 2 species
AAAAUCCGUCGACUUUAAAAAUCGUGAGGGUUCAAGUCCUCUCUAUCCCCA